rnacentral:rRNA from 1 species
UCCCAGACUCCUACGGGAGGCAGCAGUGAGGAAUAUUGGUCAAUGGGCGGGAGCCUGAACCAGCCAAGUCGCGUGAGGGAAGACGGUCCUACGGAUUGUAAACCUCUUUUGCCGGGGAGCAACGGGGUCCUUGCGAGGGCCCAAUGAGAGUACCCGGAGAAAAAGCAUCGGCUAACUCCGUGCCAGCAGCCGCGGUAAUACGGAGGAUGCGAGCGUUAUCCGGAUUUAUUGGGUUUAAAGGGUGCGUAGGGGGGCUGUUAAGUCAGCGGUCAAAUGUCGGGGCUCAACCCCGGCCUGCCGUUGAAACCGGAGCGCUAGAAUUCCGAUGCCGUCGGAGGAAUGUGUGGUGUAGCGGUGAAAUGCAUAGAUAUCACACAGAACACCGAUUGCGAAGGCAUCUGACGAAUCGGAGAUUGACGCCGAUGCACGAAAGCGUGGGUAUCGAACAGGAUUAGAUACCCCAGUAGC